rnacentral:lncRNA from 1 species
CCACAAAGGCAUACCUACAUAGCGCUCUGGGACAGAGCAGGCAAUGCGCAGGAUUGAGUUGGGUGUGGCACACACGUGUGACCCCAGCAUAUGGAAGGCCAAGGGCUUAAGGCAUACCUGGGAAGAAUGAUACAUGAAAAUGAAGGCAGGAGAUCAGUUGACAGGUCUAUGGACCAAAGAAUAGCAAGGAUUAUCAACAAGUUCCCAGAAGCCAGAGAGAAUCAGAGAAACAUCUGACUCUGUCCCCAGAAGCAUUCAACACCACUAAACAUGAUCUAGGACUUACUACAUCAGAAAUGAAAGACAACUUUCUGUUGUUUAAGACAUUCAACCUGUGGUCCUUGUUAUAGCCGUCACAACAAUAAAUACAAGGUCUUCGGGAUUCCAGUGUCUACUGAAGACCAGCCGAGAUGCCCAUCUUCAUGAACUGAAAAACUACUGGAUUCCUGGACCAGUAGACAGCCAUUGUUGGGCUAGCUAGACCACAGCCUGGAAGACACUCUAAUAAAUCCCCCUUUUAUGUCUCUG